GCGAACAGAUAGGAGCUUGCUCCUUUGAAGUUAGCGGCGGACGGGUGAGUACACGUGGGUAACCUACCUAUAAGACUGGGAUAACUUCGGGAAACCGGAGCUAAUACCGGAUAACAUUUAGAACCGCAUGGUUCUAAAGUGAAAGAUGGUUUUGCUAUCACUUAUAGAUGGACCCGCGCCGUAUUAGCUAGUUGGUAAGGUAACGGCUUACCAAGGCGACGAUACGUAGCCGACCUGAGAGGGUGAUCGGCCACACUGGAACUGAGACACGGUCCAGACUCCUACGGGAGGCAGCAGUAGGGAAUCUUCCGCAAUGGGCGAAAGCCUGACGGAGCAACGCCGCGUGAGUGAUGAAGGGUUUCGGCUCGUAAAACUCUGUUAUUAGGGAAGAACAAAUGUGUAAGUAACUGUGCACAUCUUGACGGUACCUAAUCAGAAAGCCACGGCUAACUACGUGCCAGCAGCCGCGGUAAUACGUAGGUGGCAAGCGUUAUCCGGAAUUAUUGGGCGUAAAGCGCGCGUAGGCGGUUUCUUAAGUCUGAUGUGAAAGCCCACGGCUCAACCGUGGAGGGUCAUUGGAAACUGGGAAACUUGAGUGCAGAAGAGGAAAGUGGAAUUCCAUGUGUAGCGGUGAAAUGCGCAGAGAUAUGGAGGAACACCAGUGGCGAAGGCGACUUUCUGGUCUGUAACUGACGCUGAUGUGCGAAAGCGUGGGGAUCAAACAGGAUUAGAUACCCUGGUAGUCCACGCCGUAAACGAUGAGUGCUAAGUGUUAGGGGGUUUCCGCCCCUUAGUGCUGCAGCUAACGCAUUAAGCACUCCGCCUGGGGAGUACGACCGCAGGGUUGAACUCAAAGGAAUUGACGGGGACCCGCACAAGCGGUGGAGCAUGUGGUUUAAUUCGGAGCAACGCGAAGAACCUUACCAAAUCUUGACAUCUUUG
rnacentral:rRNA from 1 species